rnacentral:snoRNA from 1 species
AAGCACUGACUUUGAACUGGUGUGUGGCCUGCUCAUGGCCUCACUAGUUACGCUACAGUGCAAAAACAAAGGACUUGCUUACUACCGGUGUUGCUCAGUUUAAACCUGAGCAGCUCCUUUUAAGGGCAAGUUACAUUC